rnacentral:rRNA from 1 species
AAUGGGGGAAACCCUGACGCAGCAACGCCGCGUGAGUGAUGAAGGCCUUUGGGUCGUAAAACUCUGUCAGCAGGAAAGAAGUUAUAGAGGGUUAAUACCCCUUUAUAUUGACGGUACCUGCAAAGGAAGCACCGGCUAACUCCGUGCCAGCAGCCGCGGUAACACGGAGGGUGCAAGCGUUAUUCGGAAUUAUUGGGCGUAAAGGGCGCGUAGGCGGCUAAACAGGUCAGGUGUGAAAGCCCGGGGCUUAACCCCGGAAGUGCAUUUGAAACCGUUUGGCUUGAGUAUGGGAGAGGAGAGCGGAAUUCCUGGUGUAGAGGUGAAAUUCGUAGAUAUCAGGAGGAACACCGGUGGCGAAGGCGGCUCUCUGGACCAAUACUGACGCUGAGGCGCGAAGGCGUGGGUAGCAAA